rnacentral:misc_RNA from 1 species
GAAAUGCGAUAAGUAGUGUGAAUUGCAGAAUUCAGUGAAUCAUCGAAUCUUUGAACGCACAUUGCGCCCUUUGGUAUUCCUUAGGGCAUGCCUGUUCGAGCGUCAUUUGUAACCUCAAGCUCAGCUUGGUGUUGGGUGUCUGUCCCCGCCCCGCGCGGGAACUCGCCUCAAAAACAUUGGCGGCCGGUACGUUGGCUUCGAGCGCAGCAGAAACGCGAACUCGAGGCCCGACGGAUCGGCGACCAGAAGUCACUUCUUCCACAGCUUGACCUCGGAUCAGGUAGGGAUACCCGCUGAACUUAAGC